GACGAACGCUGGCGGCGUGCUUAACACAUGCAAGUCGAACGGAAAGGCCCUGCUUUUGUGGGGUGCUCGAGUGGCGAACGGGUGAGUAACACGUGAGUAACCUGCCCUUGACUUUGGGAUAACUUCAGGAAACUGGGGCUAAUACCGGAUAGGAGCUCCUGCUGCAUGGUGGGGGUUGGAAAGUUUCGGCGGUUGGGGAUGGACUCGCGGCUUAUCAGCUUGUUGGUGGGGUAGUGGCUUACCAAGGCUUUGACGGGUAGCCGGCCGGAUAGGGUGACCGGCCACAUUGGGACUGAGAUACGGCCCAGACUCCUACGGGAGGCAGCAGUGGGGAAUAUUGCACAAUGGGCGGAAGCCUGAUGCAGCAACGCCGCGUGCGGGAUGACGGCCUUCGGGUUGUAAACCGCUUUCGCCUGUGACGAAGCGUGAGUGACGGUAAUGGGUAAAGAAGCACCGGCUAACUACGUG
rnacentral:rRNA from 1 species